ACGCGCGGAACCUUACCAGGUCUUGACAUCCUCUGACACUCCUAGAGAUAGGACGUUCCCCUUCGGGGGACAGAGUGACAGGUGGUGCAUGGUUGUCGUCAGCUCGUGUCGUGAGAUGUUGGGUUAAGUCCCGCAACGAGCGCAACCCUUGAUCUUAGUUGCCAGCAUUAAGUUGGGCACUCUAAGGUGACUGCCGGUGACAAACCGGAGGAAGGUGGGGAUGACGUCAAAUCAUCAUGCCCCUUAUGACCUGGGCUACACACGUGCUACAAUGGAUGGUACAAAGGGCAGCAAAACCGCGAGGUCGAGCAAAUCCCAUAAAACCAUUCUCAGUUCGGAUUGUAGGCUGCAACUCGCCUACAUGAAGCUGGAAUCGCUAGUAAUCGCGGAUCAGCAUGCCGCGGUGAAUACGUUCCCGGGCCUUGCACUCACCGCCCGU
rnacentral:rRNA from 1 species